UAUUCUACAAAUGAUUUUGGAAAACAACCACGAAACCACAUGCAAAUAACAAAAUUUCAGAAUCAUGUAAAUUAUAGAAUAUUAAAAAAAUUACAACUUAUCCAUCACUUCACCAUGGUUCAAAAAUCGGUCCACAUUUCAGGACGAUCGAGGAUUGGCCUAAACCGAUUUUGUGCCAAAAUAAAAGCUAGCAUUACAAGGGUCAUCGAUGAAUAAUUGUUUAAGUUUUGUGCACAAGAAAAGUUCUGAAUUAUCAAGUUGCCAUGUCAAGGCAGGGACACUUUCAAACAAUAUGAGCUGCUGCAAGGCGACGGUCACUAGUCCAACUUAUGUAUUUUCUUCACACCUCAUGGACAUCCGUACCACAACUUGAUGUUGGCUGAAGUACAAAAAGAAAUAAGUUAGCUAGCAUCAGUUCAAAGUCUCACUACACUAUUUCUUAGUGCAAUCAUAUUGACAUGGAACAGUAUGAACCAACAUAUGAUGUGUGCAUUGUGCAUAACAAAAUUAAGACCGACAAAUCAAAAGGCACGAAGCAAUUGAACACAAAGUCUUCGGAUAAAGUCAACUUCUAAUGUCAGAGCAGACCCACAAAUCAGUACCUACCAGAAAUCAAAUGGUCACUCAUCAGUCAGACAAACGCAAUGAAAUAUAUGUUGGAUUCACAACCAAAUAAGCUAGGAUCGAUCAAAUGCAGUGUGUGAGUACAUGACACAUGCCAUGCUCCUGUAUACCACUCCAUUUUUCAACUAAAACAGAACACAAUGAAAUGACUAUUACUAUACAUGGUAAGCUAAUAUUCCCAGGUUCCGCAUAACAGUUUGGCAAACAGUGUAUGUAACUCUUCUACAUGCACUUCCAGAGAGCAAAGUAAGAUCAACGACCAUUGAACAAAACAUGAUUAGCCACAGUUUAGCAACUCAGGUGGUGAACCACAAAUUGGCGCAUGUUGUUUUAGUUUGCAGCCAACAUACAUAUGCACUAACGCACCAAAACGGUUGGAUUAAUAGAUGAUCUGUGAUGGAGUGGCCAAGCACAUAUUCAUUAUCGAAGCUGAUAAUAACCCCAAAUUUUGAAUAAGACGGGGAGAGGCGGAUACUGAAUUUCCAGUACAUGAUGUUGAUAAUACUCCCAGGUUGAACCCACCCACAAACAGUUCAAAUUAUUCAUUGCCCCCAUUCACUGGCAUUUUUUCUCUGCCUAGUACAUGAUGAUAAGAUCAUCGUGGAGUCAUCUAAUCAUCAAUAAACCCUCUCUGAAUUACUGUAGGUUCUUAACCAGCGAUCAUGUAUCUCUGACGUUUAUAACAUUUUCUACCUUGACAACAACGGAUCAAGCACAUUUGAAAUUAUUGAAAAUAAGUACCACUAGUAAUAUGAGCAGGUGGUCUGGAUACAGUAGUGCUCCAUUUUUAUAGGCUGAGAUUUAGAUUGAGCAAGGCAAAAUAGUAUGAUGCCUCUCUUUGAUAUACAUCCGUUUGAUUGGCUCACAGGUGCAGAGCAUUAGUAUGUGCUGCACUUUGUUUUGUUAGAGGAUGGUGUGCGAUGGCGGAAAGCGUCGUACCUCAACUCGAGGGGACGCCGUACAUGUUAUAGGCAGGGGCGCAUCUCCCUGAUUGCGCAUACAGUUAGGAUUCGGUACAGGAGAGAUUACAUCUUGAGGAGAAAGUUGAAAGAAGUUAAUUCUAGCUACAGAUAGAUAAAAAAUCUUCUAACUACCUAGCCUAACUAUGUAGGAAACCUCCUGUCAAGUAUACAAUCCUCCUGUCACGUAUCAUUGAUGUUUGACACCCUCUCUUAAUCACAACUUCAUCAAGUUGAGAUUAUGUUUGAAGUCUUCAAAACUUCUUGUGGGCAAAGAUUUUGUGAAUCCAUCUGCAAUUUGAUCUCUGGAGUGUAUAAAGCGAAUAUCUAAGAGUUUAUUAGCAAUUCUUUCUCUAACAAAGUGAAAAUCAAGCUCAUUGUGUUUGGUGCUAGCAAGAAAGACUGGAUUUGCUGACAAAUAAGUGGCACCCAUAUUAUCACACCAUAAACAAGGAGCUUGAGUAGUUUUCACCCCCAAUUCCUUCAGAAUAGAUUGCACCCAUAUGAUUUCUGUUGUUGCAUUAGCCAGUGCCUUGUAUUCCGCCUCCGUGCUUGACCUAGAAACAGUGGCUUGUUUUCUGGCACACGAAGAUAUCAAAUUAGGGCAAAAAAAACACUGCAAAGCCACUAAUUGAGCGUCGUCAUCCAGACAUCCCGCCCAACCUGAAUAUGAGAAAUCACUAACAAGAGUAGAAGAUGAUCUACUAAAGUUCAAGCCAAUGCUCAAAGUAUUUUUCACAUAUCUGACUAUACGUUUGGCAGCAAUCAAAUGAACUGUAGUGGGUGCAUGAAGGAACUGACAUACUUUGUUACCAGCAAAAGAGAUAUCUGGUCUUGUAAGUGUCAAAUACUAAAGCGCACCUACUAGACUUAUGUAUUUUGUACUGUAAUCUUGACUCAAGAGUCAAGAGUGUACCUUUUGUGAGAGAUAGUUUCUCUGUACUAGAUAAAGGAGUGGGUGUAGGUUUACAAUCUUGCAAGUCCGCCUUUCUUACCAAAUCAGUUGCAUAUUUUUCUUGGGAAAGGUGGAGUCCAUCCUUAUGUUUCUUCACUUCAAUCCCUAGAAAAUAAUGCAAAUCUCCAAGAUCCUUGAGAGCAAACUCUGCACUUAAAUCCUUCAACAAUCCUGCUAUUGCCUCAUCAGAUGAACUUGUGACAAUAAUAUCAUCAACAUAUAUGAGAACAAAUAUGGAUGUAUUGGACUUAUUAUAAAUAAACAGUGAGGUGUCAGAUUUUGAAGGAACAAAACCAAGUGUUUGCAUCUUUCUGCUGAGACGUGAGUACCAUGCCCUUGGAGCUUGCUUCAGCCCAUACAGUGCUUUAUCAAGUUUGCACACAUGAGAGGAUGCAUUUUUUCUUUCAAACCCAGGAGGUUGUUUCAUGUAUACUUCCUCUUCCAGAACACCAUGCAAAAACGCGUUCUGUACAUCUAGCUGUCGAAGACUCCAUCCCCUGGAAACAACAAUAGACAAAACUAGACGGAUGGUAGCAACUUUUACAACCGGACUAAAAGUGUCCUCAUAGUCUAUACCACACCGUUGCUUGAAACCUUUCACAACAAGUCUAGCCUUGUAGUGAUCAAUAGUUCCGUCAGACUUUCUUUUGAUCCUAAAAACCCACUUGCAAUCAAUGAAAUUUUUACCUUGCUGUGGGGGACCAAAUGCUAUGUUUUGUUUCUUUGUAAUGCCAUGUAUUCUUCAUGCAUUGCUUUUCUCCAUCUCUCAUCACCAAGAGCCUUUUCAAGUGUACUGGGCUCACCUGGUUCACCUAUAGAACACAUGAGACCAUAUUUGGUUACAUGUUUAUAAUUGACAGUUUGAAUUACCCCUUCUUGUAGCCUUGUGCGACGUGGUAUUGUUGCAGCAGUGUUUUGCGGCGCAGAGGAUCUAGGAGCCUGAGUAGGAGAUAGAGAAUCUGCUGGUGAUCCUGAGGCAGAUCCAUCGGCAGUGGUAGUUUCCGCUUGGUCUAGAGUUGUCUCCACAUGGGUCGGAUCCUCUGUGGCAACCGGCCUUUGCUCCAAUGAAGCGUGAGCUGCAGAAGAUCCCAGGCGGGCAGGCAUCUUUGGGUCGCAGGAAACAACGCCCGACCCCGCGGUUGGCGAGCGACUCGUGAUGCACCACUUGUAGAUCACGAGUUGGGCCGCAAAGCGCCCUUCGUCCAGUCCAGCCGCAAACUGCCGCGUGGCAGUUGACGAGUCACGCGGACCAGGGGGCGUGCCUGGCACAGCUGGAGACGACCACAUGACUGGUGCUGACUCGUGGGCAGCUGCACGACCACCCGCGCCUGCCGCACUUGGUGGUGUCGGUUCUGCUGAAGGAAUUGAUCCCGAGGCAGAUUCCCUGCACUGUUCCAACGCAGACCCCGAGGAGGAUAUGCUUCCCACGCCGCGACACAUGAGAUAUGGCUCAUUUGAGCUAUUUUCUUCAUCAUUUUUAUUUCUGUUUUCUUUGCUGUUGUCUCCUGUAUCAUCACAAGGACAUCGUGGGAGAUGUAAACACGACCAGUUGAGAUAUCAAGACAUUUAACACCCUUAUGUUGAGCACUAUACCCAAGAAAAGCACAUUGUUUAGAGCGAAGCAUGAUCUUGCGAUUGUUGUAUGAACGAAGAUUUGGCCAACAAGCGCAUCCAAAUACACCAAGUGAGGUGUAAUCUAGUUUGGUGUGGAGAAGUCUUUCUACUGCUGUUUCAUUGUUGAUAACUCUACUGGGGAGCAUAUUUAUGAUGUGAACAGCAGUAAGAAAAUCCUGAUCCCAGAAUUUGAGGGGCAUGGAGGCCCCGGCUAAAAGAGCAAGGCCAACCUCAACUAUGUGUCUAUGCUUGUGUUCAGCAGAACCGUUUUGUUGGUGAGCGUGAGGACAUGACACAUCAUGGGAGAUGCCAAGAGUUUGGAAUAAGGAUUAAUUUUUGAUAUUCUCCCCCAGUCGGAUUGGACAACAAUGAUCUUGCGGUCAAACUUGCGUUCAACGAGUGCUUGGAAGUUUUGAAAAACUUGAAAGACAUCAGAUCUUUUUUAAGAAGAUAAAUCCAUGAAUAUUUGCUAAAGUCAUCAAUGAACCUCACGUAGUAUGUGUGUCUACCAACGGAGCUAGGGGCAGGAACCCAAACAUCAGAAAGAAUUAAUUGCAAUGGUUGUGUAGAAACACUAGUGGAUAUGGGAUAAGGCAAUUGAUGACUUUUGCUCGUUGACAUGAAUCACAAAUUGUUUCAACAUGACGCUCACCAACAUACGGGAGCUUAUUUUUCCUAAGAAAUUGUUCAACUAAAGAAAAAGAUGCAUGGCCUAAUCGAUCGUGCCACCGUGUUGACGAUAGUUUGACAACACCAUAGGCUUGUUUAUUGAAUCUUCUAUGCUCCAGAAUCAACGGGUAAAGCCCUCGAACACAUCUACCUUGAUAGAGUACUUUCUUCGUGGCCUGAUCCUUAAUCAAAAAGAAGAAAGGAUGAAAUUCAACGAAGACAUGAUUAUCAAUAGUGAUUCUAUGAACUGAUAGAAGAUUCUUGUUGGCACUAGGGACAUGCAAAAAAUUUCGAAGAUGAAUUUUAUGAUGAGGGGUAUUAAUAAGUGAAUGACCAAUGUGACGAAUCCUCAUACCUGCACCACUAGCAGUGUGGAUUCUGAUCCUUGCCAUGGUAUUUCUCCCUUAGGGUUACUUUUUCAAGUUCACCCGUGAGAUGGUUUGUGGCGCCACUAUCAAGAUACCAAUUGGUAUUGAUUCCAUAGGAACCAUUAGCGGCAUCAUCAACUUUUUCUUCGUCUUGAGAGGAGUCCCCGUCUUCAUCGAAGCGGUACCAGCAGUCUUUCGGAUAGUGCCAGAGCUUACCAAAGAUCUGGCAACGCACGUCAUCUGGGCGAGACCGACUGGAACAACCGCGGCGACCCUGAUUUUUGGUGGAGGAGGGCCGACCGCUGCGAGGAUUGGAGUUGCCGCUAUUCUGCCCGCCGCCUCCCAACUUGCUCUUGUUGCAUGGAGGUCCACGGUAGCGGGAGUUGCCGCUGCGUCUACGGGUGGCAGUGUUCGCGGAGGAUUUGAACCCGCCAGCGCUGCCAAAUCACUGGGGCGCCGCCAUGCGCUGGUCGAAGUUACUCAACAUGGUGAAGAGUUUGUCGAUGGAGACCGCGGUGACGCGAGCGUCGAGCACCGAGACGAGGGGCCGAUACUCCAUGUCUAGGUUGUCAAGGAUGUAGGAGACUAUCUCAUCAUCCCGCGGUGGCUUGCCGCCACCGGCAAGCUCAUCAGCGAGGCCGCGCAUCUCGGCGAAGUAGGAGGUCACCGUCUUGUUGCCCUUCUACGCAUUCACGAGGGCAGUAUGGAUGUUAUUGAUGCGGCUGAGCAACUGCAAGGAGAACAUACCUGCCAACGCCGCCCAGAGUUCGCUCACGGUGGUGAUCGCAGUCAUCUGGACGAGUACCUCCUUGGUGAGAUUGUUCAGCAAGUACCCAACGAUUUGCUGAUCCUCCCUGACCCAAAUGGGAUGGAGAGGGUUGGGCGCAGAAGUAUCUUUCCCAUCCUUAUCCUUUGUGGGAAGCACCCUGGCCGGCUCCGGUAUGCUGCUGUCGACGUAGUCCACGAGUAUGUGGCUAUGUUAUGUGAUACCUGCGGUAAAUUGGCACAUGACUCUAGGGAGUGUCCGUUACUGCGAGAUCAGGCACCGUCACUCAUGAUGUAUGGAGUUUACUGUGCUAAGCUAACUUUUUUCGAAUCUCCGAAUGAGCGAGAGGUGUCUGAUGAGUCCACGAGUAUGACCACGGGGAUUGUCAAGGUCACCAGAGGGGAGGUGUCCGAGACACAGAUCGUGCAGAGGCUCCGAGAGUUGGCCCCUGGGGAUUUCCAGUGGGACCUUGUCAGUCUCGCUGAUAAGAUGUUCAAAGUUGAGUGUCCUUUCGUGGAGGAUCUGCAGAGGUUGUUGAGUUUUGGGAUGUGUAAGGUGCCGGGAACGGAUGGCAUCCUUGAGUUUCAGGAGUGGAAGCAUAUUGAGCCUCAGGGCGUGCCGCUUACUCAGGCGUGGUUGCGAUUUUCCAGGGCUCCCCCUAAGCCACUACAGGAUGCUCGGGUUGUGUCCAGCAUGGGCAUUUUAGUAGGGAAGCCUGAGCAAGUGGACAUGGAGUUCACCAGAGCUCACGGGAUUGCUCGGGUUCUGGUUAGUAUUUUGAACAUUGAGUAUGUGCCGGAAGUGGUUAAGUGGGCUUAUCGAGGCAGGAUUUAUAACCUGGUUAUUGAGUUUGAGGAUGAGAGCCUUCUGGUUGCGCCGGCUCAUGAGUCUGACGUGGAUAUGCACGAGGGUGAUGGCAGUGCAGGAGCGCAGGAGCCGCCGGUCGAGGACUCUGGACGAUAGUUGUCCAAGGGGCUGGGGUCCGAGACCGCGACGACCGGGGAUGGAGCAACCCCACCCUCCUCGGUGCCUUCGACGACUCUGAGAAUUGGGUCUUUUGAGCCCUCUUCUGCACCUCCAAGACUGUGGAGUGAUCGGGUCGAGUCUAAGGAGGCUUUUGAGCUCGAGUUGCCUGUUUUGGGGUUUGAGGGUGUUGUGGAUACCAUUCCUGGGGAUCUUGGGGGUUCUUCGAUCUCGAUCUGGGGGGAUGAGGAGGUGAGUCGGUAGGUGGCCACUCCCCCUCGCGCUCAGCACACGGUACCUCCUCAGGAGGUGACGCAGCUUGUCGUGCCCGGCUCGUCGGGUGGAGCCCUGGGGCAGGCGGCCUCGGGUUGCUCCCCUUCAGUUGAGGAAGGGGACUCGGGGCAGGUGGCUCCCGGGUGCUUUUCUUCGUUGGGAGGGGGUCUGGGGCAGGAGGCCUCGGAUACCUCCUCUCCCGUCGCGUCUACCAUUCGGUUCGUGGCGCCUUCGGGAGAGGGCUCGGGGCAGGUGGCCUCGGAGCCUUCUCCUCCUACGGCGCUGUGGGGGUGGCUUCACCGGUGCUGGGUGGGGUGCGAGGGCAAGCGGCCCUUGUACUGCCUCCACCACUCUUCCUGCUGGCCCCGUCCUGCGGGGCGCACCAGGAGUCUGAGAUCUUGGUGAGUGCCAGUCCACUCUCUGGCGAGGCUGUGGGUGAGCCCGUGCAGAUGGAUCGGCCUACUGGUUGGGGUGAGGCAGGAGGCCGGACCCCGACCAUGAUCUCUCGGGAGGAGGUCAUUGCGUUUGGAGGGAUUCAGGAUCCGAUGUCUGAGGGGCGCCGGGUGGGUGGCCGUCUCUAGGCAUAGCCGGACGUGGACGACAUUCAGCAGCGGUGCACCAUGAGGGAGGCCAAGCUUCGUGACGUCGAGGUCACUACUGGUAUGUCGGUCAAUACUUCUAAUUCCAUUCUGCAUUUUUCAAAUGAUGAGAUUGUUGAAAAAUGCAAAUCAACUAGGAGUUUCGCUGGGUAGUAAUGACACUGAAAUCUCUAAUUCGAUUAAUGAUCUGCUUGAUCUAGAGGCUGAGCGAGCCUUAGAGAUGAUUCGUAAUAUUGCGGCUGUUAAACCCAUGAGUGAUUCUGAGGUUGAUGCGCUCGGGGUCAGGGUGCUCGACAAUUUUUGUGCAGAUCUUAUGCAACCUAUUACUGAGGGGGAUGUAGAGGAUGAUUCUACUGAGAUACUUUUGGCUAGCCCCUCUGAGACUGGUUGUGAGGACCAGUUGCAGCGUCAAACUAUCCCCAAGCGCAAGUGGAAACGGAAGGUGUACCCGGUGUCCGCAGUGCGUAGGAGUGCUAGGAUUCGUACGGCAAAAAAUAUCCAUGAUGAACUAUGAAAGGAAUCUUUUGGAAUAGCAGAGGUCUAGAGGACUUGGCUAAAAGAAGGUUUCUUGCUGAGGCGUCUGUCGAGCAUCGUUUAGAUUUUAUCGCUCUAUCGGAGACGGGUAGAGAUAAGUUUGCGCCUCAAUUUCUAAAUACUUUGUCGGGGGGUAUAGAUUUUGAUUGGCAUUGCUUGCCGCCGAGAGGGAGAUCGGGUGGAAUCUUACUCGGCGUUAGGUGCGAAACGCUUGAGGUUCGCAGUGUGGUUAUGGGUGACUUUGCAGUCAAGUUCCGGGUGCGGUGAAGGAAGAAGGGUUUAAUUGGGCUCUGGUUACGGUAUAUGGGGCUGCGCAGCCCGAGCUCAAGCCCGAGUUCUUGGCUGCUCUCAUUCGGAUUUGUGGUUCCGAGCAGUUGCCUAUCCUGGUGGGGGGUGAUUUCAAUAUAAUUAGAAGGUGUGAGGAUAAGAACAAUGAUAACUUUGACGGCAGAUGGUUGUUCAUGUUCAAUACUAUCAUUGAAAGUUUGGACCUGAGAGAAAUUGAGCUCUCGGGUAGAAAAUUCACCUGGGCUAACGCGCUGCCAAAUCCGACGUAUGAGAAGUUGGAUCGAGUGUUGGCCAGUGUCGAUUGGGAACAGAAGUUCCCUCUAGUAACAGUCCAGGCCUUGUCCCGUGGUAUUUCUGACCACACACCGUUAUUUGUGGACUCUGGGGAGCCCACCCACCUGGGGAACAAGAAUGUGUUCUCCUUUGAGAUGGCUUGGUUUGAACCAGAAGGCUUCCUUGAUCUCGUGGCCAGAGAGUGGGCUAAGAAUUCAGGAGGGAAGACUGCGCUUCAGCACUGGCAGAAUAAGAUUAGGCAUUUGAGGAGUUUCCUGCGUGGAUGGGCUAAGCAUCUUAGCGGGAUUUAUAAGGUCGAAAAGGAAAGGCUCCUUUCCCUUAUUCAGUCCCUGGAUGUAAAAGCAGAAACCACGAUACUGCCGGCCGCGAAGCUUCAUGCCAAGCUUGACGCGGAAUUGAGGCUGAAAGAACUUCUUAGGGAAGAAGAGUUGAAGUGGGUGUUGCGGGCCAAGGUCCGGCGAGUAGUCCAGGGGGACACGAACACUCAAUUCUUUCACAUGAUCGCUAAUGGUAAGCAUCGAAAGGAGAGGAUCUUUCAGCUUGAGCAAGAUGAGGGUACAAUUGUAGGACAGGAAAACCUAAAAUUGUACAUUACCGAGUACUAUAAGCAACUGUUUGGCCCUCCAGAAAAGAACUGUGUGUCUCUGGAUGAGUCCAGGGUUGAGAGUGUUCCUCAGCUCACAGCGGUGGAGAAUGAUAUUCUUACGGCUCCUUUCUCCGAGAAAGAGGUACUUGAGGCCAUUUCGCAAAUGAAAAAUAACAAGGCGCCGGGCCCCGAUGGAUUUCCAGCGGAGUUUUAUAAGAAAUGUUGGCAUAUCAUUAAAGGGGAUUUGUUUCCUUUGUUCAAUGAUCUGUUUGCUGGACAGCUUCAUCUUUUUCAGCUCAAUUUUGGAACUAUCACCCUUCUUCCUAAGAAAACAGAGGCUGUGAGAAUUGAGCAAUUCAGGCCAAUCUGUCUUCUUAAUGUUAGUUUCAAAAUUUUCACCAAGGUCGGGACCAAUAGGCUCACACAGAUCGCGCAUGCUGUUGUGCAGCCUACCCAAACUGCUUUCAUGCCGGACAGGAAUAUCCUUGAGGGGGUAGUGGUCCUUCAUGAAACGCUCCAUGAAAUCCACACGAAAAAGCUGGAUGGGGUUGUUUUCAAAGUGGAUUUCGAAAAAGCAUAUGAAAAAGUCAAAUGGCCAUUCCUUCAACAGGCCUUACGUAUGAAGGGUUUUGAUGAGGCUUGGCGACGCUAGGUAGAAUCCUUUACACAAAAAGGAAGUGUUGGAAUUAAAGUAAAUGAUGAUAUAGUGCAUUAUUUCCAGACACACAAAGGCCUGAGGCAAGGAGAUCCAAUGUCCCCUAUUUUGUUCAACAUUGUGGUUGACAUGUUGGCAAUUCUCGUAGGUAGGGUAAAGGAGGCCGGUCAGGUGGGUGGCUUGGUGCCCAACCUAGUUGAUGGGGGUGUGUCCAUUCUGCAGUACGCUGAUGAUACAAUCAUCUUUAUGGAGCAGGACCUGGCAAAAGCGAGAAAUAUGAAGCUGGUGUUAUGCUUAUUUGAACAAUUGACCGGGUUAAAGAUUAACUUUCAUAAAAGCGAGUUGUUCUGCUUUGGUAGAGACAAGGAGUAACAAGAGACUUAUAGGCAAUUGUUUGGUUGUGAAUUAGGGGCUUUACCUUUUACUUACCUAGGUAUACCCAUUCACCAUCGUAAGCUAACGAACAGAGAGUGGAAAUGCAUCGAAGAUCGGUUUGAAAAGAAACUUAGUUGCUGGAAGGGCAAACUUAUGUCAUAUGGAGGCCAGUUAAUUCUUAUUAAUUCGAUGCUUACGAGUAUGCCGAUGUUCCUACUAUCUUUCUUUGAGGUUCCAGUUGGGGUUAGAAAAAGGCUGGACUUCUACCGAUCGAGAUUUUUUUGGCAGAGUGAUGAACUUAAGAGAAAGUAUAGACUCGCCAAGUGGGAUGUUAUUUGUCGACCAAAGGACCAAGGGGGUUUGGGUAUCGAGAAUCUUGAGGUCAAGAACAGAUGCCUGCUUAGCAAGUGGCUGUAUAAGCUUUCAGUUCAGACUGACGCAACUUGGGCGCAGAUUCUCCGCAACAAGUAUCUGCAUUCCAAAACUUUGUCAUAGGUGACAGUGCGACCAACUGAUUCGCCAUUUUGGAAGGGGAUUAUGAGAGUUAAGGCAGCCUUCUUUAAUAGAACAAAGUUUAUUGUCGGUGAUGGCAAUGAUACACGGUUCUGGGAGGAUACUUGGCUGGGUGAUACACCAUUGGCACUACAGUACCCAACCCUGUAUCGUAUUGUCCAGCGACGUGAUGCGUUAGUUGCAACGAUCAUGCAGUCCAUUCCCCUUAAUAUUCAAUUUCGGAGGGUGCUUAUUGGUGAUAGAUGGGAAGCUUGGCUUCAUCUGGUGCGUAGACUGAUGGAAGUCCAGCUAGCUCAUCAUCCCGAUCAGUUGUGUUGGAAACUUACUAGGUAUGGACAAUUUACUGUUAAGUCGAUGUACAUCGAUGUUAUUAACUCGACUUUCAUUCCUAGUUCCAAACAUGUUUGGAAAGUAAAAGUUCCUUUGAAAAUUAAAGUGUUUAUGUGGUUUGUCAUAAACAGGUUAUUUUAACAAAGGACAACUUGGUUAAGCGCAAUUGGACAUGAUCUACUAGGUGUAGUUUCUGUGAUCACGACGAGACCAUUAAGCAUCUCUUCUUUGAGUGUCCGUUGGUGAGAAUUCUGUGGCACACCGUGCAAAUUGCCUUUAACAUUACCCCUCCGAGUUUCGUUAUUUGGAACGUGGCUGGAUGGGAUAGAGUCCGAUACAGCUAGACAUAUUCGUGUAGGAGUUUGUGCGUUGUUAUGGGCAAUUUGGAACUGCAGAAACGAUUUGGCUUUUAACAGAAUAACUACUAUUCAUUUUUUGCAGGUUGUAUUCCGUGCGACGGCGCUGAUCUGUAUGUGGUCCUUACUCACUCUGACGGAGACCAGGAAGCGUUUGGUUACUGGAUCUGUCAGAUGGGAGAUGGUAGCACGGGAUAUCUUCAACCGGUUUAAAUGGCGGUCAUGUAAUAGGAUAGGCAAUUAGUUUUCCUAUCUUUAUUUUGCCAGCCGGUUGUGGCUUUAUGGCAUUUUCUUGUUUUAGCGUCGAGGCUCUAUGUGAGCUCACCUUUAUUUUGUUUUAUGACUCUAUGAUAUUGUUGAACCUAUUUUAUUUAUUUAAGUGGCCAUAUGCAUCGUUCUGAUGCAGAGGCCGAGGAGUUCCCCUUUUCGAAAAAAGAUAGAUAAAAAAUCUUCUAACUACCUAGCCUAACUAUGUAGGAAACCUGUUGUCACGUAUACAAUCCUCCUGUCACGUACCAUUGAUGUUUGACA
rnacentral:lncRNA from 1 species